rnacentral:rRNA from 1 species
CCAAUAGCGUAUAUUAAAGUUGUUGCAGUUAAAAAGCUCGUAGUUGAAUUUCGGGAUCAGUGGGUCGGUCGUGCCACUGGUAUGCACUGGCCCUACUGGUUCCUCCUUCUUGAAGAACUGUAAUGCCAUUAAUUUGGUGUUGCAGGGAAACAAGACUGUUACUUUGAAAAAAUUAGAGUGUUUAAAGCAGGCAAUCGCUUGAAUCCAUUAGCAUGGAAUAAUGAAAUAGGACGAUCGAUCCUAUUUUGUUGGUUUCUAGGAUUGACGUAAUGAUUAAUAGGGAUAGUUGGGGGCAUUAGUAUUCAAUUGUCAGAGGUGAAAUUCUUGGAUUUAUUGAAGACUAACUACUGCGAAAGCAUUUGCCAAGGAUGUUUUCAUUAAUCAAGAACGAAAGUUAGGGGAUCGAAGACGAUCAGAUACCGUCGUAGUCUUAACCAUAAACUAUGCCGACUAGGGAUCGGAUGAUGUUAAUUUUUUUAAUGACUCAUUCGGCGCCUUACG